GAUGAAGAACGUAGCGAAAUGCGAUAAGUAAUGUGAAUUGCAGAAUUCAGUGAAUCAUCGAAUCUUUGAACGCAUCUUGCGCUCCUUGGUAUUCUGAGGAGCAUGCCUGUUUGAGUGUCAUUAAAUUCUCAACUACACUGACUUUGAAUUGGUGUGGCUUGGAUUUGGGGGGAAAAUUGUUGUGGGCUUUUUGUAUAGUCUGCUCCCCUGAAAUUGAUUAGCGGUACCUUUGUGGAACUGUCUACAGGUGUGAUAAUUAUCUACAUCUUAGACAUCUGCUGGAAUGCUGCUUUCUAAACCUUACUUGUAUUUACAAUCUUGACCUCAAAUCAGGUAGGACUACCCGCUGAACUUAAGCAUAUCAAUAAGCGGAGGA
rnacentral:misc_RNA from 1 species